rnacentral:misc_RNA from 1 species
GCCAUAUCAAUAGGAAGAGAAGUAACCAUUGGAUGAUCACCCUUCAAUUUCUUCAAUUGAGACACAUGAAAAAAGGGGUGAAUGUGAGAAGAAAUAGGCAAAUGCAAUUUAUGAGCAACAACCCCAAUUUGGUAGAAUAUCACAAUUGGUCCAUGAUAACGGGCAGCUAACUUUUAAUACACUCAUUUAGUAACAGAAUGUUGGCGAUGAGGGCGCAACUUG